AUUGACUCUGUCUCCCCCCCCCUCCCGGGCGGCAGUUGGUUUGUCCCUGGGCCGAGCUCCCCCCGCCCCCCAGCCGGCUCGCUCAGUGGUUCAGUCUGACAGGGAUGAAGGCGGACUAGGAUGUGACCGGCACCGGGGAAAUGGCCUCCAGCUCCAGCGACAUCGUCCGCCAGGGCUACGUCAGGAUGAAGAGCAGGAAACUGGGG